rnacentral:sRNA from 12 species
CGCGCUCCACACAGAUUAUAUCUGAAUUGAGGCCAUCCAACUGAAUCAGUGAUGUAACACCAGUAGUUGAGACUAAUAGGGAUAUUAGUUGUCAAUUACACAAAUGGUGU